UACGGAGGGUGCGAGCGUUGUUCGGAAUCACUGGGCGUAAAGGGCGUGUAGGCGGUCUGUUAAGUCUGAUGUGAAAGCCCGGGGCUCACCCCCGGAAGUGCAUUGGAUACUGGCGGACUCGAGUCUCGGAGAGGAGGGUGGAAUUCCUGGUGUAGCGGUGAAAUGCGUAGAUAUCGGGAGGAAUACCAGUGGCGAAGGCGGCUUCUUGGCCUGUUCUUGACGCUGAGGCGCGAAAGCUGGGGGAGCAAACGGG
rnacentral:rRNA from 1 species